AUUGAACGCUGGCGGCAGGCCUAACACAUGCAAGUCGAACGAGUGGCGGACGGGUGAGUAAUGUCUGGGAAACUGCCCGAUGGAGGGGGAUAACUACUGGAAACGGUAGCUACUACCGCAUACCAUCGGAUGUGCCCAGAGGGGAUUAGCGAGUAGGUGAGGUAAAGGCUCACCUAGGCGACGAUCCCUAGCUGGUCUGAGAGGAUGACCGGCCACACUGGAACUGAGACACGGUCCAGACUCCUACGGGAGGCAGCAGUGGGGAAUAUUGCACAAUGGGCGAAAGCCUGAUGCAGCCAUGCCGCGUGUAUGAAGAAGGCCUUCGGGUUGUAAAGUACUUUCAGCGAGGAGGCGUUACUCGCAGAAGAAGCAACGGCUAACUCCGUGCCAGCAGCCGCGGUAAUUC
rnacentral:rRNA from 1 species